AUUUGGUAAGGCAAGGGUUAGGCGCCCCGUGCUCCGGGAGCGCGCAGAGGUGGGGGCAGGUUUCUGGGGCAGGAGGGGGCGUCCCUUGGCAGUGCAGCUGCGGAAGACAGGUUCUUGCACAAUACAGCCACCUCACCGAGGCCCAGCCUUGUGCUCUGCGACAGGCCCGGUGCAGGCCGUUCCGAGGCCUCGGUGGGGAGCAGAGAGCGGCUUCCUCAGGGGCACUAUUCAUCAAAGUCCUGUUGCCAACCCGGAGAUCUCGCCCGCAAUGCUAAUGGGAGUGGAAGCUGUCCGGGGACAAAUCACGGCAGAGCCCGGGUGGGAACCAGGCCGCCUCGGCCUCCGCCUGGCCCAGCCAUCUGAGGCGGGGCAUCCCUAGUGUGUAUUGAUCUGCUCGCGCCCGGCGCGGUAACCACGACGACCGCGCGGGCCUGACCCCGCCCCGCCGCGAGAGCCCCGCCUCCCCGAGCUCCCCAUUGGCCAUCUUCCCUGAAGCGCUCGAAGCCACCAAUCAUCAUCUACGUCUCCCUACAAAGGGUGGAGAGACUGCUCCUGGCGGAAACCACGCUCUGCAGGAGGAUCCUGCCUGUGGUUUAAUUGAGGUGAACGUUAACCCUCAUAGGAGAGACAGAACGCGAACUGCAUUACCUAGUCCUAUGCUCUUAAAGGAGCACUGCGAGCCCAGGCGGCCCUAAAAACCAACUGUGGCCGAUCCCCGUGACGAAGAGCCGUCAGAUUGGGCUCAUCCUGGUUGUGGAGACUGCAGGCUCCAUCACUUCCUGAAGCAUGUCACUUCCCAUGCGAGGGGGACUCUUCAAUUUAAAAAGUACUGAAUAGUCCGUCUGGAUCCUUCAGUUCCAAACUUCUGAAUCAUGCCCCGGAAGCCAACGUCGUUCGGGCAUUCAGGUCUGAAAUUCAAAGCACCGUAUGGGAGGCUGGCUUGACAUUUUUUUCUUUGCCUCUGUCUGCAGAGAAGAAUUAGCUGUCUCAUUCCCCUUUGCCGCAGGGGUAGUAAAAAUCAAUAGUGCUUCAUCUGCAAGGGAGAUGAAUUUCCUAUCUAACCCCUCGAGAUCAGGGAGGCCUGCGACUCAGGAUUGAUAGAACUGUCAGCUGUCAGACCCACAGGGGCCAUAAAUAAUCCAGUCCAACCCCUUGGCUGUUCUGGUGAAGACAGUUGCACCAGGCCACCGGCUGUGGAGAGCCUGGGUGGAAAUUAGUGCUCUUUGGGCUAUGCCAUGCAGGACAGCCGUGGCCACUUGCUUUCCUUGGGGACCCCAGUUUACUGCCUUUUCCCUUCCUCUUCCUCCUCUUCUCACAAUUUCCAAUAAUAAUUGGCAGUGUGCAAAUCCAGCCCUCAGAACCUAAGAGGCAAAGGCCACCCUGAAUUUUCUGAUCCUAGCAAGCUGACUUCAACUUGGCCACUAUCUGAAGUGCUGUCAAACGUGGGCGUUUCUGCCACCUGCAGGCUGUGACUCUCAAGGAGUUACAGCUGAUUUCACAGAUUCAAAGCCUACAGAGCACAGCGGCAAAACAUUUGGUUAGCAAUGGCAUAACCAAUUGGCCAGAUUCUCUUGAACACUGAAUCCACUAAACUUGGUAUCUGUAAGACUUGCAGCCACCAAGAAUAGACUUCCUCAUUUCACCAAAUGUGUAUCUUGGGAGCAUCCACCAUUCAUUGGACUCUUGGUAGCCUCAGAGGGUGCAAGAAUUUGCCAGUUUCACAAAGAAUCAUUACCCUUGGACAGCUUGUGACAUGAUUGGUCAGACAGAGCCCUGUGCUGAAGCAACCUAGAUAAGUCUACCUGAAAGGUUCCCGCCACUCCCUAGUCAGUACAUAUAAAGGAGGUCACAUGAGUUUUAAUGUUCAGGUUUUGAUUACUCAAGAGUCCUCACCUCUAAAACAUUAGGACCUUCAGUGCCUCCGCCUGUGUUUCUUUUCCAGGGCCUGAAAGGCCAUUAAAACCAUCACUUCCCCAUUGCCACUGAUGGCUCUGUCCCACACUGUUAGGAUCCCUGACUUUAUAUAAGGCUGAACUCUGAAAUGUAGCCCAAAUGCAGGAGGAAUAACAGGUUCUGUGCAGUGUCACGUGAGAGAACCUAACAGAUUGGGUUCUUUCCCUAGGGCAGUGGUGGAGAAUCUAUGGUACCCAUGUUGUUCAGUUUUCUUUUAAGACAAAAGAUGUUACUGUAUGAGAUGGCUUUUUUUUUUCUCUAAACUAAAACUUCAGUAUUUAGGUUUAAUAGCAGUGUCAGCACUUUAUGACCCAUAGGUGAGUUGGGGAUUGCAGUUUGGGCACUCAUCUCUAAAAAGUUCACCAUCACUGCCCCAGGGCUAGCUCUUCUCUCCAUGCCUCUGGAGUACUUGGCUGUUAUUUCUGUCCUGAUAAGGACUUGAAGAAAACAACAAAACAAAAGGCUAAGAUGCGUGUGAUGCAUUUCUUUUCACCCUACAGGACAAAGCCCAAAAUCUUUCUCUAUCUUGCUCAAAGCAGAUCCUGUGCCAUCCUUAACUGGCACCAAUUAAGCACCCACUCUGUGCUGGCAUUAGGGGUGUGGUGCUAGAUUAAACACAUAAGACCAGAGCCAGCCUCCACAGAGCCUGCAGACUCCAGGCAGUAGUGAGAGCAGCAGGCAGAGAUUCCCAGCACAGGUCAGCACAGGACCUUCCUGCAGGAGCCUCAGGGAGAAUGCAUGGUGGAAGCAAAGUGUGAGAGGUAGGAGGAGAUGAAGUCAGAGAGCACCACAUAGCCAGGUCUCCCAGAGCCUUGUAAUGCACUGCAAGAAUUGGAAAUUGGUUCGAAGUACAAUGAGAAAAUUUUCUCCUGAAUUGGAUGGGCUUAGGAGGACCCCACAAGAAAGAAGAUAGGAGUAAAGCUGCCUAGACAGCAGGUCAGGAUUCCCUGCGGGGCUAGAGACAGAAGUGGAAGCAUAAUACUGUAACUCUUACUUCCAACCCCGAGCCCCACCCUGCACAAACGUAGGGUACCUGUUUCUAGAAUAGUAAGGGCAAAAGGUUCCUGGGACCCACUUAUCACCCCGUACUCCCAAUGUGCCCCUUUGUUCUGGGAUGUAAUGAGCACGCGUUUAUCCCUUGGUAGUGCAGAGGCAACAGGGGCAACCAGAGAAAAAAGAGUGAAGAAGGGUCGGUCUCACAGCAAGCAAGACGUGCGGGACACUGCCGGACAAAGCAAACAAGAGGCUUUCGCUGGGGAAACUCAGGCGUCUGCAUGAGGAAGUGCUGCCCAGCACAUUUGGAGACAGCCUCUUCCUGAGCAUGCUCAGUUCACGGUGGUACACACGCCGAAACCAGCGGACAGGAACAUCUCCUGGAGAACCCCAGCCACUCAGGAACAUCUCCUGGAGAACCCCAGCCACUCAUCCUUACUGGAAAGAAGGGCCGGAGACAAAGGCUGUCCCCGCGGCCCCUGCCUGUGGCCAGGCAGGCUUCACCUAAAAGCAGCCUUCCCCAUGGUCCCUGGGUUUCAUCAGCCCUCCUAGACUAGCCAACUACCAGAUGGAAUCAGAUCAAAGCAAACCCAAGAGCGUGGGGAGCACCUCGUGGCUGCUGCUGGACGCGUGAGUUACACAGAGUCUCUGCAGGAAACUUACAGGGCAUCCAAUCAGAAGACACUGCCCACCAGUAACCAGCUCGGGGUGGGAGGCAGCAGCUGGCCCUUCCCCAGCGUCUACUCCAGCAGCCCUCAGGAUGCUUCCGCCCCAGGUAGCCAGCAUGGGCUGGAAAAAACGGCAGCCAGCCCUGCACCAGCACACCCAGUGGCCACCACUGGAUACCCAUAGCCAGCACUGACUGGGCAGGAGAAGCCAGGAGAACCAGACAGUCAUGCUCCAGAGAAAUCGUAGCCAACGUGGGAAGUGUCUGGGACCCCACUGCCUGCUUGGUUGGAAGAACCCAAGAAAAGUGAAGAAGAAGAAGAAGAAGAAGAAGCACAAGGCAGUCCCUGGUCUCCAACCCAAGCAGAGCAAGUCCAGGAGAUGAAAAUACGGAAGAGAUCAGGAGUCGCACACCGGAAGUGUCUGAAGUGACGGCAACUGAAGUGAAGAAACAACCUCAGGAGGCUAUAAAAGAAAUUAGAUCAGAAAUACUAUCUCAGGUAAAAGAAGAAAUGAGAAACAUAAUAAAAGAAUCGCUAAGUACCUCUAAAGAAGACACAGAUAGAACAGAGGAGCAGAGGAAAAUGAGGGAAACUCUGCAUAAACAAUAUGAGAGAUUUAGGCUGCAUGACACAGAUUCAAAGAGGUAUCCAGGCAAUUAAAAACUCCACUGAAAGUUGAAAAAAACACUUGAAAGAAACUGAAGAUAGACUUUCAGACCUUGAAGACGGGUGGGCAGCUCACAAUCAUGAAAAGAAAGAUAUCAUAAAAAUAACAAGAAACCAGGAAUUAACAGUUCAACAACUGCAAGACGACACAAAGCAAAAUAACUUCAGAAUAACAGGUGUCAGUGAAGAAGCAGGGGUCAACACAAAUGACAUUAAAAUUCUAUUUACAGAUUAUUAGCAGAAAACUUCCCAAACAUGGGAACAGGACAAGAUAUAAGGUAAGUGAGGCAUAUAGAACUCCAUCUAGCCAUAACCAAAAUAAAUCUACACCCAGACAUAUAAUAAUCAAGAUUCCAGAAAUUCAACACAAGAACAGAAUAGUAAAAGCUAUUAGAGAAAAUAAACAAAUCACCUAUAAAGGAAAACCCAUCAGAACCACGACAGACUUCUCAGCACAAACCAUCAAGUCAAGAAGAGCUUGGAGUGAAGCAUUUCAAGUUCUGAAAGAAAACAACUUCUAACUCAGAUUGAUGUACCCUGAAAAAUUAUCUUUCAGAAUUAAGGGAGAAACAAGAUACUCCCAUGACAAAGAACAACUGAAGGAAUUCAUGACCACUAAACCCUACAAAGAAUACUGAAGGACACUCUAGAGAGAAAUAAAAAAGACCACAGUUCAGGAACAGCGGCAGAAGGGGAUCACAGAGCAAAGCAGACAAUGGAAUGAAGGGAAAAGUAGGCAGCCAAUGACAGGAAAAUAGCACGGCAAAGACAAACCAGUGCAUGUUGGUCAUAACCAUUAAUGUAGGUGGCCUCAAUUCACCAACAAAAAGAGACACAAGCAGAGUGGAUCAGAAGACAAGAUCCAUCAAUAUGCUUAUUGAAGAAACCCAUUUAACUCAAAAAGAAAUUCAUAGACUAAAAGUCAAAGGACAGAAAGCAAGCUCUAUGUGACAGGGAAUCAGAAAAAAGCAGGGGUAGCUCACCCAUCAACUGCAGAAUAGGUAAGAAAGAUGUGGCAUACAAUUUAUUAUAAAUAUACACUAUACAGUGGAGAGCUACUCAAUUAUAAAGAAAGUUAGACUUGAGGCUCUGGAGGGUAAAUGGAUACAGCUUGCGACCAUGCUCGUGGGUGAAAUGGUUCAGAGUCACAUGGGUGAGCAUCACAUUGUCUCCCUAGUGUAAAAACUAAAGGAGUGAGUGGGACCCAAAAUGCACAACAGAUGUUAUGAAGGUGAAAGGGAAGGAGAGGUCUAGAGGGGAAGGCAGUGGCCAUUGUUAAUCUAUAUCCUGUUUUGAAACCUUCUGUUGUUUUCAUUAUUUUGUUUAGCUUGGUUUUAUUCUGUUUUGUCUUGUUGGAUUUUAUCAUAUUUAAUGGCAUGGACAGCUAUUUCAAAAAUAACAAAAUGUAUUAAAGUAGCCAUUUUUGAGUUCCAGU